rnacentral:ncRNA from 1 species
AAAAGAGGAGCGGCAGAACAUGAGUACCGCGCGCGGAGGAAAAAAGUAAGGUUUUCCGUCCAACGCCCGCGGGAAAGGGUAUCGCCGCCGAAGCGCGCUCUCUUCCUUACGCGGCGCGCUGGGAGUAUGGGAGAAUACCUCUAUUCCUGUCACCGCCCCCGGUGAAGCGCUUUUU